AAAAAGGUUGUCGUUCGGACGAUCUGUUAUUCCGCCAAAGACACCAGAAAACAUCUUCUUGUUUUACAACAACACACGGGGAGCACGAAGAGACGACGCCAACGCGACGACAGACGCACACGACAAGCGCGGCCACGCACGCACAGGCAUGGCCACGGAUGCCAACCACACAAACGACCGCCGCCGGAAAGCCUACAGCAGCGGACGACUAAGAAAAACAACAUGGGACACACUAAGUUGACGAAUUUGCCUACUUGUACUUGAUGGCAGCUCUAGCGAUGGCACUGCAGUAAGCCUUCGUCUCUGUGCCCAAAUGAUCUCUCUUCCCGUCUAAAAGACUGACGACUAACGAUUAGAUAGGUUGACGGAGACUUUGGGGCGAGUACCGUCUCCUCCUCCUGGUUCCUGCUCCCAUUCCUAUGGUAGCGUCCUCUCAGCUCUGCGAGCGGCGGCGGCUAGAACUUCUUGUUGUACCAGAAGACGCCCUUGCGGUCCUCGGGCUCGACGUAGAUGCACUCCCUGGCCUCGCGCCAGGUCGCCUUGGCAACAGGGGUCGGGUCGAAGUGGUAGUAGUCCCCGAGGAUGGGCCUGAUCGCCUUGGUGGCCUCCAUGGCGUGGUAGUGCGGCAUGGUGGAGAAGAGGUGGUGCGCGACGUGCGUGUCCGUGAUGUUGUGGAACACGCGGUUGAGGAUGCCGUAGUCGCGGUCCAUGGUGGCCAGCGCGCCGCGCAGCCAGUCCCACUCGCUCGAGUCGUAGUGGGGGAGCGACGGGUGGGUGUGCUGCAGGUAGGUGAUGAGCACCAGCCACGCGUUCACGAUCAGCAGCGGCACGGCGUACACGCGCACCACCCACCAGACCCCGAACGCCGCCGCCAGCUUGUACAGCCCGAACGCCACGGCCACGACGCCGGCGUCCGAGACGAAGAUCUGGGCGCGCUCCCGGUCGUUGUAGAUGGGGCCGUAGGGGUCGAAGUGGCAGGCGAAGCGCGGGUACGGCCGCCCCGACGCGUUGGUCGCCAGGUACAGCGGCCACCCGAGGGUGAGCUGCACCACGAUGUGCACCACCCGGCCGACCGGGUUGUUGUACACGUACGGGGUGUACCACGGCAGCGCCUCCUUCUUCUUGGGCACGAACACCUCGUCGCGCUCCAGGGACCCCGUGUUGGAGUGGUGGCGCCGGUGGCUGUACUUCCACGAGAAGUAGGGCACCAUGAGCGACGAGUGCAGCACCAGGCCGACCACGUCGUCCAGGAGCGAGUAGUCCGAGAAGGCGUGGUGGCCGCACUCGUGCGCGAUGACCCACACGCCGGUGCACACGCACCCCUGCGCGAUCCAGUACAGCGGCCAGGCGGCGUAGCGGAGCGGGCUUGGGAGCGCCGGUAUGAUGGCCAGCGCGAAGUAGAGGAGCGCCGCGGCGAUCACCAGGUCGUGGACCACGUACGAGAAGGACUUGAGCACCGAGCGCUCGAAGCAGUGUGGCGG
rnacentral:lncRNA from 1 species